AUUGAACGCUGGCGGCAGGCCUAACACAUGCAAGUCGAGCGGAUGAAGGGAGCUUGCUCCUGAAUUCAGCGGCGGACGGGUGAGUAAUGCCUAGGAAUCUGCCUGGUAGUGGAGGAUAACGUCCGGAAACGGGCGCUAAUACCGCAUACGUCCUGAGGGAGAAAGUGGGGGAUCUUCGGACCUCACGCUAUCAGAUGAGCCUAGGUCGGAUUAGCUAGUUGGUGGGGUAAAGGCCUACCAAGGCGACGAUCCGUAACUGGUCUGAGAGGAUGAUCAGUCACACUGGAACUGAGACACGGUCCAGACUCCUACGGGAGGCAGCAGUGGGGAAUAUUGGACAAUGGGCGAAAGCCUGAUCCAGCCAUGCCGCGUGUGUGAAGAAGGUCUUCGGAUUGUAAAGCACUUUAAGUUGGGAGGAAGGGCAGUAAGUUAAUACCUUGCUGUUUUGACGUUACCAACAGAAUAAGCACCGGCUAACUUCGUG
rnacentral:rRNA from 1 species